GACGAACGCUGGCGGCGUGCCUGAUACAUGCAAGUCGAACGAGAGCGACCGGUGCUUGCACUGGUCAAUCUAGUGGCGAACGGGUGAGUAACACGUGGGUAACCUGCCCAUCAGAGGGGGAUAACAUCCGGAAACGGAUGCUAAAACCGCAUAGGUCUUCGAGCCGCAUGGCUUGAAGAGGAAAAGAGGCGCAAGCUUCUGCUGAUGGAUGGACCCGCGGUGCAUUAGCUAGUUGGUGAGGUAACGGCUCACCAAGGCCGUGAUGCAUAGCCGACCUGAGAGGGUGAUCGGCCACAUUGGGACUGAGACACGGCCCAAACUCCUACGGGAGGCAGCAGUAGGGAAUCUUCCGCAAUGGACGCAAGUCUGACGGAGCAACGCCGCGUGAGUGAAGAAGGUUUUCGGAUCGUAAAACUCUGUUGUUAGAGAAGAACAAGUGCUAGAGUAACUGUUAGCGCCUUGACGGUAUCUAACCAGAAAGCCACGGCUAACUACGUG
rnacentral:rRNA from 1 species